rnacentral:rRNA from 1 species
UGGGGAAUAUUGGACAAUGGGGGCAACCCUGAUCCAGCCAUGCCGCGUGAGUGAUGAAGGCCUUCGGGUUGUAAAGCUCUUUUGGCGGGGACGAUGAUGACGGUACCCGCAGAAUAAGCCCCGGCUAACUUCGUGCCAGCAGCCGCGGUAAGACGAAGGGGGCUAGCGUUGUUCGGAAUUACUGGGCGUAAAGCGAGUGUAGGCGGUUGCCGUAGUCAGGUGUGAAAGCCUUGAGCUCAACUCAAGAAAUGCACUUGAUACUGGGUGACUAGAGGACCGGAGAGGAUAGUGGAAUUCCCAGUGUAGUGGUGAAAUACGUAGAGAUUGGGAAGAACACCAGUGGCGAAGGCGGCUAUCUGGACGGUUACUGACGCUAAGACUCGAAAGCGUGGGGAGCAAACAGGAUUAGAUACCCUGGUAGUCCACGCCGUAAACGAUGGGUGCUAGACGUUGGCGAGCUUGCUCGUCAGUGUCGCA